rnacentral:rRNA from 1 species
UUGAACGCUGGCGGCAUGCUUUACACCUGCAAGUCGAACGGCAGCGCGGGUUUCGGCCUGGCGGCGAGUGGCGAACGGGUGAGUAAUACAUCGGAACGUGCCCAGUAGUGGGGGAUAGCUCGGCGAAAGCCGGAUUAAUACCGCAUACGACCUGAGGGUGAAAGCGGGGGAUCUUCGGACCUCGCGCUAUUGGAGCGGCCGAUGGCAGAUUAGCUAGUUGGUGGGGUAAAGGCCUACCAAGGCGACGAUCUGUAGCUGGUCUGAGAGGACGACCAGCCACACGGGGACUGAGACACGGCCCAGACUCCUACGGGAGGCAGCAGUGGGGAAUUUUGGACAAUGGGCGAAAGCCUGAUCCAGCAAUGCCGCGUGUGUGAUGAAGGCCUUCGGGUUGUAAAGCACUUUUGGCGGGAACGAAAAGGACUGUGCCAAUACCACGGUUCGAUGACGGUACCCGCAGAAUAAGCACCGGCUAACUACGUG